AAAAUUCACGAAGUAGUUUGGACCAAAGAUGAAAGCAGUUUUCUUCAAGCUAGGGCAUUAAGCUGCUUAAAAUGUGAAGCUGGAACUACUUGCAAGCACUAUAAUAUUGGCAACAUACAUCUCAGUGGCACAACGAGUUCAUUGUCCAAGAAACCAAGGCUAAGGUAUGAGGAGGUAUUCACCGAUUCUGAUGAUGACACCAGCUUCAAUUGAGAAGACAUCACAAGAAAAUAACAAUUUGUCCAAGGAAUCAUUUGCAGAUUUGAAAGCUAGAGAUUGGUGUAUGUUGGAAUAUGGCAAUGAAUUGUUCCCGGGGGAAAUUUCAAGAAAGAUUACAUCAAAUCAGUUCGAAGUAUCAUGUAUGGUCAAAGCU